AUUGAACGCUGGCGGCAGGCUUAACACAUGCAAGUCGAACGAGUGGCGGACGGGUGAGUAAUGUCUGGGAAACUGCCUGAUGGAGGGGGAUAACUACUGGAAACGGUAGCUAAUACCGCAUACUCUCUGAUUUGCCCAGAUGGGAUUGGCUAGUGGGUGGGGUAACGGCUCACCAGGGCGACGAUCCCUAGCUGGUUUGAGAGGAUGACCAGCCAAACUGGAACUGAGAAACGGUCCAGACUCCUACGGGAGGCAGAAGUGGGGAAUAUUGGACAAGGGGGGCAAGCCGGAUGCAGCCAUGCCGCGUGGAUGAGGAAGGCCUUCGGGUUGUAAAGUACGUUCAGCGGGGAGGCGGUACCCGAAGAAGAAGCACCGGCUAACUCCGUGCCAGCAGCCGCGGUAAUAC
rnacentral:rRNA from 1 species